UUCUUAGUUUGUGUUUAUUAUUUUCAAAUGAUUGCCUUUGUGUUUCCUUAGGUUUGUUUCUAAUUCUUGCUAUAGAAGCUUGGUGUGGUGGAAGCAGAGGAAAGGAGCCCCCAGCUGCAAUUUCCUAAGCACUGGGCGGAGUAUGGGACCAGGGCUGCUCGGACCAGGGCUGCUUUUUUCCUCCAUGCAGAGCUAACAGCCUUUGAAAAAGGAUCAGACGUUUGCUCUUCCACCUAUGCUGUAGUCAACUCAGCUAAUUAAUUGAGAAAUUAUUAGCCCUGAGCUAACUACUGCCAAUCCUGCUCUUUUUGCUGAGGAAGACUGGCCCUGAGCUAACAUCUGUGCCCAUCUUCCUCUACUUUAUUCGUGGGACACCUGCCACAGCAUGGCUUGUCAUGCUGUGCCAUGUCUGCACCCGGGAUCCAAACCUGUGAACCCUGGGCUGCUGAAGCAGAAUGUGGGAACUUAUCCGCUGCACCACCGGGCUGGCCCUUGAAAUCACUAUCUUGAAGAGAUAUCUUCUUCCCCAUGUUCAUUGAAGCAUUAUUUACAAUACUGAAAUAAUCUAAAUGUCUGUCAAUGGAUGAAUGGAUAAAGAAGAUGUACUAUAUAUAAAUACAAUGGGAUAUUAUUCAGCCAUGAGAAGGAAGGAAAUCCUGCCCUUUGCAAUGACAUGGAUGAACCUUGAGGGCACUAUGCUCAGUGAAAUAAGUCAGACAGAGAAAGACAAAUACUGUGUGAUAUCACUUAUAUGUGGAAUCUAAAAAAGCCGAACUCACAAAAACAGAGAUUGGAAUGGUGGUUACCAGAGGCUGUGGGGUUGGGAGAAUUGGGGAUAUGUUGUUUAAGGGUAGAAUCUUGGAACUAGUAGAUAAAUAAGUCCUAGAGAUCUAAUGCACAGCAUAGUAAUUAUAGACAACAAUAGUGUAUCAUAAACCACAAAGUUGCUAUGAGACUGGAUCUUGAUCGUUCCCAGCACAAAGAAAUUAUGUGGUAGGAUAGAAGUAUUAGCUAAUGCUGCAGUGGUAAUCAUACUGUGGUAUAUAAAUAUAUCAAGUCAACACACUGUACAUCUUAAACUAACACAAUGCUGUAUGUC
rnacentral:lncRNA from 1 species